AAUGAAGUGCCUGAUUAAAGGGUUAUCGUGAUAGGAUAAAUUAUGUAAUUUAUCAUUACCUUCAUUAUAAUA
rnacentral:tRNA from 1 species